rnacentral:rRNA from 1 species
AUGCCACGUGCUGAUGGUCCUUUUAAGGUGUUAGAGAAAAUAAAUGAUAAUGCAUAUAAACUUGAGCUGCCUGCAGAUUUUGGGGUUAGUCCCACUUUUAACAUUGCAGAUUUGAAGCCUUAUUUGGGUGAGGAAGAUGAGCUUCUGUCGAGGACGACUUCAUUUCAAGAAGGGGAGGAUGACGAGGACAUCAAUACCAUUGUUACACCCACAACACCUGCUGCUAUACAUACUGGACCAAUUACUAGAGCUCGCGCACGCCAAUUGAAUUACCAGGUACUUUCGUUUCUUGGUAAAGAUUCUAAUGUUCAUGAGAAUAUGAUGCUGCCUAAAUUGGAUACAUUUGUUUUGCUUACAAAUGAAGGGCCUAGCAUGGAUAAGAGGGAUGAACGUUGGAGC